rnacentral:Y_RNA from 1 species
GGCUGGUCCGAAGGUAGUAAGUUAUCUCACAUGAUUGUUCACAGUCAGUUACAGAUUGAACUCCUUGUUCUACUAUUUUCCCCCCUCCUCACUACUGCACUUGACUAGUCUUAA